rnacentral:rRNA from 1 species
UACAGAGGGUGCGAGCGUUAAUCGGAAUUACUGGGCGUAAAGCGUGCGUAGACGGUUAUUUAAGUCGGGUGUGAAAGCCCCGGGCUCAACCUGGGAAUUGCAUUCGAGACUGAAUAGCUAGGGUACGGUAGAGGGAAGUGGAAUUUCCGGUGUAGCGGUGAAAUGCGCAGAUAUCGGGAAGAACACCCGUGGCGAAGGCGGCUCUCUGGGACGGUACUGACGCUGAGACGCGAAAGCGUGGGGAGCGAACAGG